GGCCGGACAAGCUUUGUUCAAAGCUAAGACUCUUUGAUUAGGAAUCAUUCUGCUAUUUCAUUAGUCAUUUCGUGAUCUUUUAUAACUGACUAUGCGUUGUGGGCUUUGCUCAUUGUUGACGGCCGUACGGUGAGCUAUACAUAGUGAUUCUGUGUAAUUUGGUCUCUUGUGGAGAUUUGUCUCAUUGGAAAUCUUUCCACAUCUUCUAUUUUUACUUAAAUAUUUAUAUGUCAAGGUUAAGCCAAACCCUAUAUACAGACAGGAGUAUCUUGGCAACACUUUGAAUACAUAACUGAAC
rnacentral:lncRNA from 1 species